rfam:Rhodococcus opacus B4 DNA, complete genome.
CUUGACGGAGCCGAGCCACAGCGGCCGGCCCUCCCGGCCCUGCCCGUACGCGGCCAGCAGCGCCUGCGCCUC